UCAGAUUGAACGCUGGCGGCAGGCCUAACACUUGCAAAGUUGAAACCGUAACAGAACUAGCUUGCUAGUUGCUGACGAGUGGCGGACGGGUGAGUAAUACUUAGGGAUCUGCCUCUGUGUGGGGGAUAACUAUUGGAAACGAUAGCUAAUACCGCAUAACGUCUACGGACCAAAGAGGGCUUCGGCUCUCGCGCAGAGAGGAACCUAAGCGAGAUUAGCUUGUUGGUGAGGUAAAGGCUCACCAAGGCGACGAUCUCUAAAUGUUCUGAGAGGAAGAUCAGCCACACUGGAAUUGAGACACGGUCCAGACUCCUACGGGAGGCACCAGUGGGGAAUUUUGCACAAUGGGGGCAACCCUGAUGCAGCCAUGCCGGGUGUGUGAAGAAGGCCUUCGGGUUGUAAAGCACUUUCAGUUGUGAGGAAAGGUUAGUAGUUAAUACCUGCUAGCUGUGACGUUAACAACAGAAGAAGCACCGGCUAACUCCGUGCCAGCAGCCGCGGUAAUACGGAGGGUGCGAGCGUUAAUCGGAAUUACUGGGCGUAAAGCGCACGCAGGCGGUCUGUUAAGCUAGAUGUGAAAGCCCCGCGCUUAACGUUGGAGGGUCAUUUAGAACUGGCAGAUUAGAGUCUUGGAGAGGGGAGUGGA
rnacentral:rRNA from 1 species